rnacentral:lncRNA from 1 species
CGUGGAAGAAGUUGAACAGCCCAAGAGCAGCUGCAGCAGAAGCAGGUUACCGGUGACAACAGAAGAGUGAGAAACCACGGCAACUAUGGAUAAUCCUGUUUUCUAGAUAGUUUGAGGAUGUAUGCUCAGCUGCAGUGGACGGGCUGCAGCUCACAUGUUUUCCAUUGUUGAAGCUAGUGAAGUGGCUGCUGAUGCCAGUGCUGUGAUCACCAGUCGCACAGAUCCCUCUUCAUCACUGCCUUCAGGGAACCUCUUCCAUGAUUGACUGUUGAGUGGAGUGAGUAAGAACCCA